GACGAACGCUGGCGGCGUGCUUAACACAUGCAAGUCGAACGGUAAGGCCCUUCGGGGUACACGAGUGGCGAACGGGUGAGUAACACGUGGGUGAUCUGCCCUGCACUUCGGGAUAAGCCUGGGAAACUGGGUCUAAUACCGGAUAGGACUCCUGGCUUCAUGGUUGGGGGUGGAAAGCUUUUGCGGUGUGGGAUGGGCCCGCGGCCUAUCAGCUUGUUGGUGGGGUAAUGGCCUACCAGGGCGACGACGGGUAGCCGGCCUGAGAGGGUGACCGGUCACACUGGGACUGAGAUACGGCCCAGAGUCCUACGGGAGGCAGGAGUGGGGAAUAUUGCACAAUGGGCGCAAGCCUGAUGCAGCGACGCCGCGUGAGGGAUGACGGCCUUCGGGUUGUAAACCUCUUUCAGCUAUGACGAAGCGCAAGUGACGGUAGUAGCAGAAGAAGGACCGGCCAACUACGUGCCAGCCGCCGCAGUAA
rnacentral:rRNA from 1 species